UACGUAGGCACCAAGCGUUGUCCGGAUUUAUUGGGCGUAAAGAGCUCGUAGGCGGUUCGGUAAGUCGGGUGUGAAAACUCUGGGCUCAACCCAGAGAGGCCACCCGAUACUGCCGUGACUGGAGUGCGGUAGGGGAGUGGGGAAUUCCUGGUGUAGCGGUGAAAUGCGCAGAUAUCAGGAGGAACACCGGUGGCGAAGGCGGAUCUCUGGGCCGAUACUGACGCUGAGGAGCGAAAGCGUGGGGAGCGAACAGG
rnacentral:rRNA from 1 species